GAUGAACGCUGGCGGCGUGCUUAACACAUGCAAGUCGAGCGAAGCACUUUUGCGGAUUUCUUCGGAUUGAAGCAAUUGUGACUGAGCGGCGGACGGGUGAGUAACGCGUGGGUAACCUGCCUCAUACAGGGGGAUAACAGUUGGAAACGACUGCUAAUACCGCAUAAGCGCACAGUACCGCAUGGUACGGUGUGAAAAACUCCGGUGGUAUGAGAUGGACCCGCGUCUGAUUAGGUAGUCGGUGGGGUAACGGCCUACCAAGCCGACGAUCAGUAGCCGACCUGAGAGGGUGACCGGCCACAUUGGGACUGAGACACGGCCCAAACUCCUACGGGAGGCAGCAGUGGGGAAUAUUGCACAAUGGGGGAAACCCUGAUGCAGCGACGCCGCGUGAGCGAUGAAGUAUUUCGGUAUGUAAAGCUCUAUCAGCAGGGAAGAAAAUGACGGUACCUGACUAAGAAGCCCCGGCUAACUACGUGCCAGCAGCCGCGGUAAUACGUAGGGGGCAAGCGUUAUCCGGAUUUACUGGGUGUAAAGGGAGCGUAGACGGCAUGGCAAGCCAGAUGUGAAAGCCCGGGGCUCAACCCCGGGACUGCAUUUGGAACUGUCAGGCUAGAGUGUCGGAGAGGAAAGCGGAAUUCCUAGUGUAGCGGUGAAAUGCGUAGAUAUUAGGAGGAACACCAGUGGCGAAGGCGGCUUUCUGGACGAUGACUGACGUUGAGGCUCGAAAGCGUGGGGAGCAAACAGGAUUAGAUACCCUGGUAGUCCACGCCGUAAACGA
rnacentral:rRNA from 1 species